AUUGAACGCUGGCGGCAUGCCUUACACAUGCAAGUCGAACGGCAGCACGGGAGCAAUCCUGGUGGCGAGUGGCGAACGGGUGAGUAAAGUAUCGGAACGCGCCCAGUCGUGGGGGAUAACGUAGCGAAAGUUACGCUAAUACCGCAUACGAUCUAUGGAUGAAAGCGGGGGAUCGCAAGACCUCGCGCGAUUGGAGCGGCCGAUAUCAGAUUAGGUAGUUGGUGGGGUAAAGGCUCACCAAGCCGACGAUCUGUAGCUGGUCUGAGAGGACGACCAGCCACACUGGGACUGGGACACGGCCCAGACUCCUACGGGAGGCAGCAGUGGGGAAUUUUGGACAAUGGGCGAAAGCCUGAUCCAGCCAUGCCGCGUGCAGGAUGAAGGCCUUCGUGUUGUAAACUGCUUUUGUACGGAACGAAAAGGUUUGGCCUAAUAAGCUGAGCUCAUGACGGUACCGUAAGAAUAAGCACCGGCUAACUACGUGCCAGCCGCCGCCGUAA
rnacentral:rRNA from 1 species